AGAAGAGCUAUUGUCUAACCACCCAGAGCACAGCCUUGUGUAUAUAAGGACCACACUUAAGCAGUGUGGAAACAGAGGUUGGAGGCAUCUAGGCCUGAUGAGUCCUUGGCAGCCUCUUAGAAUCCUUAUACCCUAGUAUGGGGUUCGGAAAGAGCCAAGAAUUCUUGUACUCCCCAAAAAGAGUCUGGCGGUGUUCAUGAGGGCUGGUGACCUGGAAAAGGCAUUCUGAUUGGGAUGACAAGGAUGCAGAGUCUAGAGCUGACAGCAGGGUGUGAUUGCUGAAACACAAGAAAGAGAGAAGAACUUUGCCCCCUUCUCCCAGUGCCAGCAGCCCAGAGGUAGCAGGAUCCUGUUGAAGCUUUGAAUUGUUUCCA
rnacentral:lncRNA from 10 species